rnacentral:rRNA from 1 species
AUGGCCUCGUCGUCGGCGUCGUCGUUGCCGGCGCCGGGAGGAUCGGUGAUCACCUUGGCCGCCUCAUCGGCUGGGGGCAACGGCGCGGGCGGGGUGUGCGGCACGGGGUCGCCGUGCGCGGCGUGCAAGUUCCUCCGCCGCAAGUGCCAGCCUGACUGCGUGUUCGCGCCCUACUUCCCGCCGGACAACCCGCAGAAGUUCGUGCACGUGCACCGCGUCUUCGGCGCCAGCAACGUGACCAAGCUGCUGAACGAGCUCCACCCGUACCAGCGCGAGGACGCCGUGAACUCCCUCGCCUACGAGGCCGACAUGCGCCUCCGCGACCCCGUCUACGGCUGCGUCGCCGUCAUCUCCAUCCUCCAGCGCAACCUCCGCCAGCUCCAGCAGGACCUCGCCCGCGCCAAGUACGAGCUCUCCAAAUACCAGUCGGCGGCGGGGCAGAACGGGUCGCAGGCGAUGGCGGAGUUCAUCGGCAGCGCGGUGCCGAACGGCGUGGCAAGCUUCAUCAACGUCGGGCACUCCGCGGCGCUUGGCUCCGUCGGCGGCGUCACGGGCUUCGGGCAAGACCAUCAGUUUGCCGCCGUGCAGAUGCUGUCCAGGAGCUAUGAGGCGGCCGAGCCCAUCGCGAGGCUGGGGCUGAACGGCGGCUACGAGUUCGGGUACUCCGCAGCCGCGAUGGCCGGCGCAGGGUCGGUGCCUGGUCUCGGCAUGCUCGGUGGCUCGUCGUUCCUGAAGCCCGGCAUCGCCGGCAGCGACGAGAGGGGCGGUGCCGGGCAGUAG